rnacentral:rRNA from 1 species
ACCGGCAGCUCAAGUGGUGGCCAUUUUUAUUGGGCCUAAAGCGUUCGUAGCCGGUUUGAUAAGUCUCUGGUGAAAUCCCGCAGCUUAACUGUGGGACUUGCUGGAGAUACUAUUAGACUAGAGGUCGGGACAGGUUAGUGGUACUCCCAGGGUAGGGGUGAAAUGCUAUAAUCCUGGGAGGACCACCUGUGGCGAAGGCGGCUUACUGGAACGGAACUGACGGUGAGUAACGUAUGCGAGGGGGGCAAACCG